GCGGGUGUGGUGGAAUUGGUAGACACGCUAGAUUUAGGAUCUAGUGCCGCAAGGCGUGAAGGUUCGAGUCCUUUCACCCGCA
rnacentral:tRNA from 1 species